UACGUAGGGUGCGAGCGUUAAUCGGAAUUACUGGGCGUAAAGCGUGCGCAGGCGGCGCGUUAAGACAGGUGUGAAAGCCCCGAGCUUAACUUGGGAAUUGCGCUUGUGACUGGCGUGCUGGAGUGUGGCAGAGGGAGGUGGAAUUCCACGUGUAGCAGUGAAAUGCGUAGAGAUGUGGAGGAACACCGAUGGCGAAGGCAGCCUCCUGGGCCAACACUGACGCUCAUGCACGAAAGCGUGGGGAGCGAACAGG
rnacentral:rRNA from 1 species